rnacentral:rRNA from 1 species
CCUACGGGUGGCUGCAGUGGGGAAUUUUGGACAAUGGGCGCAAGCCUGAUCCAGCAAUGCCGCGUGCAGGAAGAAGGCCUUCGGGUUGUAAACUGCUUUUGUCAGGGAAGAAAUCUUCUGGGCUAAUACCCCGGGAGGAUGACGGUACCUGAAGAAUAAGCACCGGCUAACUACGUGCCAGCAGCCGCGGUAAUACGUAGGGUGCGAGCGUUAAUCGGAAUUACUGGGCGUAAAGCGUGCGCAGGCGGCUUUGCAAGACAGAUGUGAAAUCCCCGGGCUCAACCUGGGAACUGCAUUUGUGACUGCAAGGCUAGAGUACGGCAGAGGGGGAUGGAAUUCCGCGUGUAGCAGUGAAAUGCGUAGAUAUGCGGAGGAACACCAAUGGCGAAGGCAAUCCCCUGGGCCUGUACUGACGCUCAUGCACGAAAGCGUGGGGAGCAAACAGGAUUAGAUACCCCUGUAGUC